rnacentral:lncRNA from 1 species
CUGGAGAGGUGGGGUCAUGGCAGACCAGAGGUCAGUGCUGCCCUGUAGGAGAGCCCACAGAAGAAAGAGGCCCUUUGCCAAAGGAGAUUUUUAUUUUACUGUCUCCAAAAGUCUGGGACUCUGGGCCCUGGGGCAGAGGCAGGGCGGCAACCUGAGCUGCCUGGAAGAGAUGUCAGAAUCCGCAGAGGUGAGCCCACCAGCCAGUAGUGGCCAUUUGUCCAGUUGUCUAUGAAAGAGUAUCA